UUUGAGUUGUUUCCAAAGAAACAACUCAAUGGAGAUCUGUCUUUCAAUUCUAAACCUCCAUGUUUUAAAGAAAAUAUGACAUGAGACAUUUUAUGAAAAAAUCCCCCUACCGCAGAAGUAAAUAAAUAAAUGCAGAUUUAUGAAAUGAAACAAACGAUAUGAUUCCAAAUUAUCCACAAUAAAAAUAUUUUUAAAUGUUCUCAAAACAUUACAAGUUUACACAUUUCAACACAAAGAAAUCAGCAAAAUUUUAAAUAUGGUACUUAUGCACAAAGCCAGACAAUAUUUGUGUGUUUCAUGGGAAUGACGUAUUGUACAUAAGAGGGUCAGUGUAACGUACAAGAAAAGGUGAAAGAAAAAAAAAGGGCCAUUUUUCCUUGUAAUGAUGGACAGCUGACAGACAACUCAUUUGAGAACAUCCAAUGAUCAGAGUAGUCUUCACAAUGAAUCCUAUUUUGUCAUGUCAUUAGCAAAAGUAGCAGAAAGUAAUCAUAAUUUUCACUUUCAUGACUACUUAUACUAGUUUACUGAUAGCUCCUGAAUGUGUCAGAACACCUUAUUCCUUGAUGAAGACUUAAAUCUGGUGAAGUGGUGACUGUAUGACUUGGAGUAAAGUGCUUUUCCUUACCCAUCUUGUUUUCUACCCAGAAAUCCUUCAGUUUCUAUAAUGAAAUGUGAUGUUAAGGGAAAUGAAC